AGUUGACAAACUUUCAUUCUUGUGCAAUCUGUGAAGCGGUUUUCAACGUCAAACGUGGUUCCAUGGUUCAAAAUUCGAUUCAGAAAUAAUUUUUCCGAAUGAUAUUAUCGUUAAAUUGAAGCUCAAGCAGUUCCUUCAAAAUGAGUGACCAAAAAUUAAUCUUAAAAGAAUGGGUCAAAGACAAACUUUCCGAUAUCUUGGAUUUCCAAGUUGACGAUGAAACGGCCAAGGAAUUAAUAGCAUUUCAACAAGAUCGAGAUUUAGAAACACAUUUAAAAGGAUUUCUAAACUACAAAGAUCCUAAAUCGAGAAGAUUCAUUACAGAAUUCAUCAAACGUAGACAAACUAUAAACAACGAACUCGUUCAAAAAAAGCGUAACGAUGACGAUGAUGAUAAAUAUACGCUGAAGAAUAAUAAAAACGUGAUAAAAAGCGAUGCAAGUAUCAACUUCGAUGUACCUGCGAAGAAAGCUAACCCACCUGUGGAAAAAUCACCCAAAAGUAAUACCGAUACCGCUUCAACAAUUCCGAAAAAGAAAAACAAGUUCGUCAAUUUUUACGCCAAAGAUGGAGAAACCGUGCUUCUCAAAGGUCGCUAUCUUUGCAACUGCGAAGCAAAGAAGCACGCUCUUAUUAAUAAUUGCAUGAAAUGUGGAAGAAUCGUGUGCCAGCAAGAAGGCUCUGGACCUUGUUUUGUCUGUGAAACUCUGGUUUGUACCAACGAAGAGCUAUUGGUUUUCAAUGGAGAUACUGAUAAAGCCUCUAAAUUAUACGAACAGUUGUUGACCCAAGAAAAACCCAAAGUCCAGAUGCAGAAAGGAUUGCAGGAAGCGAUUAAUCAACGAAAUAAGCUACUCGAGUUUGAUAGAAAUACUGAAAAACAUACCCACGUGUUCGACGACGAUAGCGAUUAUUACUGUUCUGUCAAUCCUUGGUUGACGCUCGAUCAACGAGAUGAAAUUAAGAAAAAGGAAGAAGAAUUCUUCAAAAAAAAGAAUCAAUCUAGAAUGGAGAAAAAAAUUACCAUAAAUAUCGAAGCAGGAGGAAAAAUCGUCGAAGUCGAAGAAAAAGAGAAUUCGAAUCGAAUCACCGAAAAAGAUAUAAAAAGUAUCGCUGAAUCGAAGUCGAUUGCUCCAAAGAAUGCAAAGCUCAACAGUGUAAAUCAUCUUUUGGAUCCAUACUUCACUAGUUUCAAGCCAAAAUUCAAAGGUCGCGUGAAACAUCAGAAGAUUUCUCGUUCGCUAGAUCUGAUCGAUUACAAUUCAGGCCAUAUUUUAGAUUAUGGAUUACGUCAAAUGACCGAUGAAGGAUUCUGUCUCAGUGUUCAUCAACCUUGGGCUCAAUUUUUGGUCCACGGUAUACGAAAGGGAGAAGGUCGUACUUGGUAUACCUCUUAUAGAGGUAAAUUAUGGAUAGCUUCAACUGGUAUAAAAGUUUCCCGUCAAGAUGCCAUAAAACAAGAAAACACGUAUCGUAAUAUUGUAGGAGAUAUCAAGUUUCCAGCCGAUUACCCGUCAUCUGCUCUAAUCGGUAGCGUUAAUUUAGUCGAUUGUCUUACUCAAGAACAAUACAGAAUCGAAUACCCACAAGGCGAGUUAGAAGACCCUUACGUAUUCGUUUUCGAAAACCCUCAACCGUUACCCAUUCGUUACCCGAUUAAAGGCAAACCAAAUAUAUAUAAACUAGACGAAAAAGUACACAUGGCGGCUAAAAACUGUUUAAAAACCAUGGAAAAAGUGAUCUCAGAAUCAACCAACAAAGUAAAAUCCUUUAGGACAUGAUUUUUAACACAUUUUUUUAUUUACAUUGACGAAGACGUUCAUUCGUCUGAAGUUGGCGAGAACUUUUGCUGCGAAUAGUAUUCUACUUCUUCUUGAUACCCCGGUCAAGGUUUCAUGCCAUUCGGAAGGAUGUACCUAGUGGUUUAUAAAAAAUUAUCACUUCUAAGUCAUAGCAAAGCUAUUUAUUUAUUUUCUUAUUUGUCCUAUUCGUUUAUUUGUUUUGAGUUUCUUGAAUAUAUAAUAAAAUAAUUUCGUCGUA